rnacentral:lncRNA from 1 species
CUCUGCAAAGUACAGACAUACUGAUGGAAAAGAAAGGCUUCUGAUAUCCAUAAUCUUUGAUGUCUGAGACAAAGAAGUUUUAUGUCUUUCAAAUGGCAGAUUCCCAGAUACAUUUCAGAUGGGAGCAAAUGCCGACUUAAACAGUUAGUUGUAUGUUGUUUUGUAAUGUGCAAACUCAGUCAUAAACCAUGAUAGCAUUUUAGCAUCUUUGGGUACAAUUUGUGUGUGUGUGUGUGUGUGUGUGUGUGUGUGUGUGUGCGCGCGUGCAGGGGAAAAGGAGAAAAUUCUAGCUUCUUCAAAGGGUACUGCUAAUUUGGGAGCAUUCCUUGAAGAAAACUCUUAUUUCCUGGAACGAAGAGAAGAUUAUUAAGUUAACAGUUUUCACAACAAGGAGGCCAUCUUCCUGGCCACUCUUCUGGGCAGAAGGGAAACAUGUUGAUUUCCCUCUGUUUAUUAGGAGAGCAAUACUCAGAAGAAUGGGAGACUGAGUACUUCCUGAGCCGGCAUGGUAACCAUUCUCUCUGGAGGGAGGAAAUAGGACAUCUUGUUUUGGAAGCCCCAGAGAUCUCUCCCCGACUCUCCUGUAUGACAUUUCUCUUUCUGUGAGCUGGCAAUGCUACCCAAACACCCAAAUAACUUUCUGAUGAUUUUAUUCCAAGUCAGGCUUAUAAUUACUGGACUUUCUAUGAGAAAUCAUGGUUGAAGUACCUCCUGGCUCCUUUUCAAGUAUUAUUUACAAGUCUUUUAGAACUAUAAAAUGUUUGUACGGAAAAGUGUUAUGGGUUGUGAGUCAAUAUCACUGUCACUGGUUAGGGUUUGCAGGUCAAUUAAAAGCACUGGAAUUGGAAUCCACUUUGCUUUGUAUGUCUACUCUGCCCAGUCCUCUUUGUUCUCAGAGCCUGAAAGUUGGCUUGAACAAAGUAGGGGCUCAUUAAACCUACUAGACACCAAAUGGCAACUAAGUAUCCUACGAUGUUUCUUUCUUCACACUUGUAAGACCACUUGUUUUCUUCUGCUCAAAGCUUUCUACCAUUGGAUCAGGAAAAGCAUA